rnacentral:rRNA from 1 species
AUGCAUCUUGACUCCACGACAUGUGUCCUAUGCAAUGAUGAGGAUAUGGAAGACAGGACUCACCUCCUCUUCACUUGCCCUUUCAGUCAAGGAUUUUGGUGGAACAUUGGUUUUGAAUGGAACUCUGAUCUGGAUCUCCAUAAUAUGAUUAUUGAUGCUAAACACAGAUACAAAAUUAGCCAUUUUAUAGAAAUUAUGAUAUUGGGCUGCUGGAGCAUCUGGAAUCAAAGAAAUGGGAAGAUAUUUGAAGGAAUACCAUGCUCAGUAAAUGAAUGCAAGUAUGAUUUUAUCAGAGCUUUCAAGUUAACCAUGUUGAGAGCUAAACCUACUCUGUAGGAUGGCAUGUCACCUCGGAUUGACAACAUUUAA